AUGCUCAGAAAGCUGCACUCCAUCUUUAACUCGGGCCCGCAGAGGAAGGCGGGGGUGGCCACGGGUCCCAGCUACGACCCGGCCAGCCCCACCGUGAGGCUGACCCGCAGCAGCUCCAUGUACGUGGUCGGGGACCACGGGGAGAAAUUCAGCGAGUCCUUGAAGACGUCCACAAGCAUCAGCAGCAUGGACAGCAGCCUGUACUGCCUGCAGCAGGAGGGGGACCGGGCGUGGCUGCUGUCGCGCCCCCAGGACUGCCUGCAGUACUUGCAGGAGCUGCUGGCCUUGCGGAAGAAGUACCUCAGCAGCCUGCACGACCUGAAGCCCAGUCGCGCCCCCGGCCUCUCGUCCCCCUCCUCCGCUGCCUCGGAAAGCGCGGAGAGGAGCCCCGGCCGGCCCACCUCCAAAGAAAGAAAGCAGAAAGCAGCCGCAAAGAAGUACUCCCAGUUCAGCGCAGAUGUGGCCGAGGCCAUGGCCUUCUUUGAUUCCAUCAUUGCCGAGCUAGAUACAGAGAAGCGGCCCCGGGCUGCUGAGGCAGAGCCCCCGAAUGAGGACGUGGACUUUGAUGGUGAGCGCUCGCCUGGGGCGGGGCAGGAGGUGGGUGGGGGACAGUCUCUGGAGUGGGCUGGCGGAGGAGCUAUGGGGGAACCCCAACCCUGAGUAAAGGGAAACCCACACUGCACACCAGAGCCCUGCCCAGGGCUUGCUCUUCUCCUGGGGCGGGGGAGGGGGCUUUGCUUUAGCUAUAUCUGCAGCCACCUCCCAGCCUACCCGACACUGUCAUGUAUUUGGACCCAAACUCCUUCCUGUGGUCCACUGGCCAAAGCUGAGACAAAGCACUAAAGAAAGGGGUUAGAGGAGGAGCUGGUGUGACAUGGGUAUGAAGACAGAGUUUCAGUCUUGCAAGGGGAAAAAGUCCUGGAGAGCCGUCCCUGGCCAGUGGGAAUAUAUUUGGCGCUACUGGACUGGUCACUGAAAGAUGGCUCGGAUGGUAAAUUUUAGAUUCUCUGUAUUUUACCACCUUUUUUUUUUUUUUUUUUUUAAGAAGAAAAAGGAGCAGAGAAUCUGUAUUUAAAAAUCUAGCUUCUCGCUCUGCCUGAGCUCCUUUGGCACUCUCUGCGGGACCUGACUGCCCCUUCAUCCGCUUUGCCCCCCCG
rnacentral:lncRNA from 1 species